rnacentral:rRNA from 1 species
GACGAACGCUGGCGGCGUGCUUAACACAUGCAAGUCGAACGGAAAGGCCCUGCUUUUGUUGGGUGCUCGAGUGGCGAACGGGUGAGUAACACGUGAGUAACCUGCCCUUGUCUUUGGGAUAACUUCAGGAAACUGGGGCUAAUACCGGAUAUGAGCUCCUGCUCCAUGGUGGUGGUUGGAAAGUUUCGGCGGUUGGGGAUGGACUCGCGGCUUAUCCGCUUGUUGGUGUGGUAGUGGCUUACCAAGGCUUUGACGGGUAGCCGGCCUGAGAGGGUGACCGGGGACAUGGGGACUGAGAUACGGACCAGAAGCGUACGGGAGGCAGCAGGGGGGAAUAUGGCACAAUGGGCGGAAGCGUGAGGCAGAAACGCUGCGUGCGGGAUGACGGCCUUCGGGUUGUAAACAGAUUUCGCCUGUGACGAAGAGUGAGUGACGGUAAUGGGUAAAGAAGCACCGGCUAACUACGUG